rnacentral:rRNA from 1 species
GCUCCCUUAGGUCAGCGGCGGACGGGUGAGUAACACGUGGGUAACCUGCCUGUAAGACUGGGAUAACUCCGGGAAACCGGGGCUAAUACCGGAUGCUUGAUUGAACCGCAUGGUUCAAUCAUAAAAGGUGGCUUUCAGCUACCACUUACAGAUGGACCCGCGGCGCAUUAGCUAGUUGGUGAGGUAACGGCUCACCAAGGCGACGAUGCGUAGCCGACCUGAGAGGGUGAUCGGCCACACUGGGACUGAGACACGGCCCAGACUCCUACGGGAGGCAGCAGUAGGGAAUCUUCCGCAAUGGACGAAAGUCUGACGGAGCAACGCCGCGUGAGUGAUGAAGGUUUUCGGAUCGUAAAACUCUGUUGUUA